AUAUUUAAGAGUUUGAUCCUGGCUCAGGAUGAACGCUGGCGGCGUGCCUAACACAUGCAAGUCGAGCGCGAUUAAGUGGAACUGAGACUUCGGUCAAAGAGAAACUUAUGAAAGCGGCGGACGGGUGAGUAACGCGUGGGUAACCUGCCCCAUACAAAGGGAUA
rnacentral:rRNA from 1 species